rnacentral:lncRNA from 1 species
UGCUACCCAGCAGGAUCCCAUUGCUAAUCCAUCCCGAAGGCACCAGUCUGCACCUAUUAACCCCAAGCUCCCAGUCCCUCCCCCUCCCUCCCCUUCCCCCUUGGCAACUACAAGUCUAUUCUUCAAGUGCCUCAUUUUCUUUUCUGUGGAAAGGAUCCUUUGUGCCUUAUAUUAGAUUCAAGACAUAAGUGAUCUCAUCUGGUAUUUGUCUUUCUCUUUCUGACUUACUUCACUCAGGAUGAGAGUCUCUAGUGCCAACCAUGUUGCUGCAAAUGGCCUUGUUUUGUUCUUUUUUAAGACCGAGUAGUAUUCCAUUGUGUAUAUACACCACCUCUUCUUAAUCCAUUCAUCUGUUGAUGGAUGUUUUGAUGGCUAAAUAAUAUUCCACUAUGCAUGCAUACAUACACACACAUGUAUGUGUGUGUAUAAUCAUAUAUUUACUUUAUCCACUCAUCUGUCAGUGAACACAUAGGUGAUUUUCAUGUCUUGGCUUGUGCUAAUAAUGCUGCAUUUAAAAUGGGGGUGUAAAUAUAUAUCUUUGAAAUAAUGAUAAAUUUCCUUUGGACAUGAAUAUAUACCCAGAGGGGAACUGCUGAAUCAUAUCAUGGUUCUAUUUUUAGCUUUUUGAGGAAUGGCCAUCCUGUUUUCCAUGUGGCUGUACCAAUUUCUGGUCUAACCAACUGUGCAUGAAUGUUCUCCUUUUGUUCCAAAUCUUCACCAACAGUAGUUAUCUAUCUCCUUUUUACUUUUAUAACAGCCACUCUAACAGAUGUGAGGUGAUAUCUCAUUGUGGUUUCUGUUUUCACAUUUUUCUAAAUUUCUGAAGUGUAGCAUCCUAUGGAAAGUAUGCACAUUAGAGUAUGAUUCCAUGAAUUUUCACAUGUGGAACACAGCUGUAUAACCACCACCUACAUGAAGAACUAGAACCUUACCAGCCCCCAGAGACAUCCGCUGCCCGGUGGGCCCCUUUGUAGUUAUCACUCUCUCUAAAAGUAACCUUAUUCUGGGGGAGUCAGCCGUCUUGUGAACAGUUAACGGCCAGCUGCUUUCUCCAGGGUCUGAAGGUGAGCCUGUGAGCUGAGUGGAUGUUGGGUAGUGGAGCCCAGUAUGGGAAGCUCAAAGAAGUUGGUGUGGAAGCUACAAGACCCCAUGAGGACUGGAUAAUCAAGCAUUGUUUUGGGGUCCCACAGGCUUCUUGGGAGUACUACACACUUUGAUGCCUGUUGGAGAUGAGAACCAAGAGGCUCCUAGAGGAACUGCAGAAACCGUGGCCGUGGAAGGAGGUAAAUGGCACUUGGAGAUGCAGAAAAACAAGGUUUAUUCGGCACCAGUGCCGGCUCAGAGGAGUCACCCCCAGAGUCUGAGCACCGGGUCUUUGUUCUCAGCACCUUUUAUACAAUAUCGGGUCUUGUUUCUCCCAUGCAAGCAAUCCUGAACCUCCUCCUUCCUGGAGCAGACUGACAAUGUUCCUGCCGAAGAAACGGAGCAAGCAAGGUUAUAGAAGCGAAACUGAGAAGCAAUGCUUGGAGCACCAUUAGCAGGGCUGCUGGCUUGAACAUAGGGCACGUAGUUGCUACAUAAUUAUGAGGAGGAUGGACUGAGGCUGAGCAGAACUGAAAAGGCAUGGAAAUGCUUUUUCAGGCAAGGCGGGGGUUAAGUCUCUUAGUUAAAUCUCCCAGUUCACUUCCUUGUGGGGUUCUCCCAUAAGCUUUCCUUACAUACUCUUUACAAUGCCUUUAGCCUGCUGUGAAGCAGCCUUGGUAUCUUUGCCACUUAGAGAUGUUUUCCACUUGUUUGUAUGUAGUUAGCUUAAAGUACGGAACGAAAUUUAUUUUUCUCUCCCUCCCCCUUCUUCCUAGCAUUUCCCCCUUUUCCUUUUUCUUUUCCUUUCUCCCAUUUUAGUGUCUUCUCCUUUCUCUUGAGUUAUACAUGAUAUUUCAAAAGCUAGCCUAUCUAGCAAGAUCCUUUUUCUCUGGUUAAAAGAGCAACAACAGUGUGCUUGUUUGUGUGUGUACAAGCACACACACUUGUGUCUUUUCCACACGUUUGUCUCAUUUACUCCCAAGGUGUAAACUUGGAGACAAGGAAAAGCCAGGAAGCCCUCUGUUAAUUAGUGUAUUGGUCUGUAUGAACAAACUCUUCACUAAAUGUCAAAAAUAAAGGUGUCAGGCUGCUCUCUAGGGAAAGGAUUUCCACGGAGUGCUAGGUCAUAACUGAGCUGAUGGCCUUUCAUCAGUAAGUUGUGCCCAAGGCUCUACUUCCUUCCAGUCCUUUACAAGCCGUUCAUGGAAACCAACUUAGGAGAGAACACGAUGAAACUAACCAGCCAACAAAAUUUGUUCUUGAACGACCUAGGGCUCAAUCAGGGGACACGUGGCCAAGCUGGCUGGGUGAGUCUCUCCAGUUUGGGGAGCCCACAGGGGGUGUGGGGUGGGGCUUCCAUGGAGCAGGCACAUGGGAGUCGUGGCUGCACCAGUGGGGCAACUAGGCAUGCUCAGAAGCCCUGCAGGUGGGGUCUCUCCAGGUAGCCAGGGUUUUAUAGCAGUGCGGAAGCCCAGAGGAGGAGUGGCCCCCGUUGGCCAUGACCACCACCUGCAGGCAGAGGAAGAGUUCUGAGGAGGGUAGCAGUCUCCAUCCUUUGGGGCAACAGCGUGUCUGCUUUGGAGAAAGGGUAUCCAAGGGGCAAGGACAGUAAUUCCGGAAAGAUGGGCCAGCAUUUGGCCAACACAAUCUGUUCUUCGGAGACCUGGGGUGCAAUCAGGGGACACGCUUGGCCAGGCUGGCCGGAAACCCAGCAGGUGGCUCUCUGGAGGCAUCGCGGGCAUUACCGCUGCCAGGGAAGAGGAGUGGCCAGUGGCAGCCAAGACCACCACCAGCAGGCAGAGGAAGAGUUCUGAGGAGGGAAGGGCUCUCCACCCCUUGGAAGGAGAAGGGAAGGAGAAGGGAAGGAGGAGGAGGAAAAGUGAAGGGGGUGGCACCAGUUCUUCUGGAGAAACUGGCGAUGAAUAGAAGUCAGAUACGCACUUCCUGAACGCCAGGGGGAGGCGACCCACGGAAAGUGGACUGGGAGACCCCCGCCCCCCACCCCACGCACUGGGGAGGCGUGGCUAUCAGGCUUGAGAGAGGACCCGGGGCAUAGUGGCCAGGGCCACAACCUUGGCCUGGGAAAGUUCUCAGAUGUGGUGUUAAAUCAGACUGUAUCCACCAGCCUGCACCGCAGACACAGCAACUUGGGAUCCCACCCAUGUCUGGGACCUAUACCCCCGCUUGUGGCAACACUGGAUCCUUCACCCACUGAGCCAGGCCUGGGAUCCAACCUGCAUCCUCUCAGACACGAUGUCAGGUUCUUACCCCACUGAGUCACCACAGGCACUUCUCACUCACCUCAUCAUGAUGGCUGCCUCUGUCAGUUGCUUGUGUGAUUCCCUCCAAUUGUAAAAGUGUUGUGCGCUGCCUCCCUUCCACUGUGAAAACAACCAGCCUGUGCUUGAUGCCUGAUGAGAGGACGCCAUCUCUAAAGAAAGGUACUGACUGUGGGGCUCAGACUUCAGUAAGGAAAGGAGACAAAGUGCAUGGAGUUUAUCAAGUUUAAUUUUUCAAAUGUAACCAUUGUCAUAUUAGCAUGUAAAUCUUAAAUGAUAAAGUUUAUUUCUAAGCAUACGAUUUAUUUCAAAAGAGGUUUUUUUUUUAAUGAUACAAACAUGGGCAAAAUGUUGCUUUCACCAAUUUACAACUAUGGGGAAUUUAAUUCUAGGAAAAUAAUAUUACUAUUUCCAACUAAAAGUCUGUAUUGAUGAACUGCAUAUACUUUCAAAGUUACAAUGCAAUAGUUAUACAGAACAUAAUAUAUACUUGUCAGAUUGUUGCGUAAGAGUUAGCAAAACUGUUUUGAGAAAUGUGGCUUAAGGAAGCUUCAAACUGAGUUUGAAGAUUAGUCUCUUCAGUACAAUAUUUCUUUCGCCACAGACGUGAAAGAACCCAAGCAUUCUGUGAAUAUAGAGAAAGUCCCACAUUUCUUGGUGUGUUCUGGACCUGAAAUACAUUUAGAUGGUAGAAGGUAACUGGGAAGGAACUCACUUCAGUGCUCAGCAGGUAAAGUCUGAAGAGCCUCCCUGCAACCACCGGCCUCGGCGUAGUUCAGUGGAGGAUCCCUCAGAGGGGAUGGAUGCGACCUGGCAGCUUGGGAGGCCUGAGUGGCGGGGAUGGAGAGGUCGGCUCUAAUACCCAGGCCCACUGCUGGGGAAGGGGCCAUCAGGGCUUGGCGCUUGGUGCUCCUGGUUGGGAAAGGCCCCUUGUAGUGUGGGGGUUCUCAGGACCUCUUCCAGGGCCUGGAGCUCCUUGAACAUCUCCACCAUCUCCUGUUCUUGUUUGGUCUGCUUGACUCUCUCGUUCUCCAGGUCUUGGGCCAGAGAAUCGAGUUCCUCCAUCAAAAUCAGGUUGAUCCUCAGCAUCUCUCUGUGGGUGUUAGUGAGGCCAGGUACAUUGAAUGACUCUGUCUCUAGCCUGGCAUUCUCUAACGAUGCCUCCACCUCGGCAUGCUCCUUUUGAGCAGCAUGAAUCUUGUCAAUGAGUUGGCAUUUCUCCUCAAUCUGUGCAGCCAGUGUUUUUGCCAGCUGCUGUUCACGUCGCAGGUAAAGUCGACUUCGAACAGACUGAAGCAGUCGCAAUGUAAAGAAGAGACCUACCACGAAGGGGAUGAUAACAGACCUGCACGCCACUGUCUCCCACUGGAGGUUCUGGAUGGUGAACCAGGAACCAAAGCCGCUGGGCAGCAGCAACACCAGCCCCUCCCUCAGCUUCCCAAGGAUCAGCCCGAAGCCAAGCUCCACAGAGGACGGCAGCCCCUCCAUGGCACGGAUCCAGCAAGGGGCUCUGCUCAGUUACCAUGGAUCCACCAGGCACAACGAACCCCAACAUUCCACCUGGAACCCCGCCAGCAACUGUCAUCCUGGAUUGGUCAGUUAUCUGCUCAGUGUUGGGGGAGGGUGGCAGGGGAGAGAUAGUAAGUAAAAUGUGAUUCUCCCCCU